GCAGGGGAUCGCAAGACCUUGCGCUGAUUGAGCGGCCGAUAUCAGAUUAGCUAGUUGGUGAGGUAAAAGCUCACCAAGGCGACGAUCUGUAGCGGGUCUGAGAGGAUGAUCCGCCACACUGGAACUGAGACACGGUCCAGACUCCUACGGGAGGCAGCAGUGGGGAAUUUUGGACAAUGGGGGCAACCCUGAUCCAGCCAUGCCGCGUGAGUGAAGGAGGCCUUCGGGUUGUAAAGCUCUUUCAGCCGGGAAGAAAACGCAUGGGUUAAUACCCUGUGUGGAUGACGGUACCGGAAUAAGAAGCACCGGCUAACUACGUGCCAGCAGCCGCGGUAAUACGUAGGGUGCGAGCGUUAAUCGGAAUUACUGGGCGUAAAGCGUGCGCAGGCGGUUUUGUAAGACAGGCGUGAAAUCCCCGGGCUUAACCUGGGAACUGCGUUUGUGACUGCAAGGCUAGAGUACGGCAGAGGGGGGUGGAAUUCCACGUGUAGCAGUGAAAUGCGUAGAGAUGUGGAGGAACACCAAUGGCGAAGGCAGCCCCCUGGGUCGAUACUGACGCUCAUGCACGAAAGCGUGGGUAGCAAACAGGAUUAGAUACCCUGGUAGUCCACGCCCUAAACGAUGUCAACUAGGUGUUGGGAGGGUAAAACCUUUUAGUACCGGAGCUAACGCGUGAAGUUGACCGCCUGGGGAGUACGGCCGCAAGGUUAAAACUCAAAGGAAUUGACGGGGACCCGCACAAGCGGUGGAUGAUGUGGAUUAAUUCGAUGCAACGCGAAAAACCUUACCUACCCUUGACAUGCCAAGAACUUUCCAGAGAUGGAUUGGUGCCCGAAAGGGAACUUGGACACAGGUGCUGCAUGGCUGUCGUCAGCUCGUGUCGUGAGAUGUUGGGUUAAGUCCCGCAACGAGCGCAACCCUUGUCGUUAAUUGCCAUCAUUUAGUUGGGCACUUUAACGAGACUGCCGGUGACAAACCGGAGGAAGGUGGGGAUGACGUCAAGUCCUCAUGGCCCUUAUGGGUAGGGCUUCACACGUCAUACAAUGGUCGGUACAAAGGGUCGCCAAGCCGCGAGGUGGAGCCAAUCCCAGAGAGCCGAUCGUAGUCCGGAUCGCAGUCUGCAACUCGACUGCGUGAAGUCGGAAUCGCUAGUAAUCGUGGAUCAGCAUGUCACGGUGAAUACGUUCCCGGGUCUUGUACACACCGCCCGUCACACCAUGGGAGCGAGUUCCGCCAGAAGUAGGUAGCCUAACCGCAAGGAGGGCGCUUACCACGGCGGGGUUCGUGACUG
rnacentral:rRNA from 1 species